UAAGCAUAUCAAUAAGCGGAGGAAAAGAAACCAACAGGGAUUGCCUCAGUAACGGCGAGUGAAGCGGCAACAGCUCAAAUUUUAAAGCUGGCGUCUUUGGCGUCCGCGUUGUAAUUUGGAGAGGCAUCUUCGGUUUGGGCGCCAGCCUAUGUUCCUUGGAACAGGACGUCACAGAGGGUGAGAAUCCCGUGCCUGGCUGGCUGUCCCUUUCCAUGUGAAGUGCCUUCGACGAGUCGAGUUGUUUGGGAAUGCAGCUCAAAAUGGGUGGUAAAUUUCAUCUAAAGCUAAAUAUUGGCGGGAGACCGAUAGCGCACAAGUAGAGUGAUCGAAAGAUGAAAAGCACUUUGAAAAUAGAGUUAAAAAGUACGUGAAAUUGUUGAAAGGGAAGCGCUUGAGACCAGACUCGGCCGGAGAUGAUCAGCCGUCCUUCUGGGCGGUGCACUCGUUUCCGGCCGGGCCAGCAUCGGUUGAGACGGCGGGAUAAAGGCCCGGGGAAUGUGGCUCCUUUCGGGGAGUGUUAUAGCCCCGGGCGCAAUGCCGCCAGCCUCGACCGAGGACCGCGCUUAAUUGCUAGGAUGCUGGCGUAAUGGUCUUCAGCGACCCGUCUUGAAACACGGACCAAGGAGUCUAACAUCUAUGCGAGUGUUUGGGUGUCAAACCCUUGCGCGUAAUGAAAGUGAACGGAGGUGGGAACCCCUCGCGGGGCGCACCAUCGACCGGUCCUGAUGUCUUCGGAUGGAUCUGAGUAGGAGCAUAGCUGUUGGGACCCGAAAGAUGGUGAACUAUGCCUGAAUAGGGUGAAGCCAGAGGAAACUCUGGUGGAGGCUCGCAGCGGUUCUGACGUGCAAAUCGAUCGUCAAAUUUGGGUAUAGGGGCGAAAGACUAAUCGAACCAUCUAGUAGCUGGUUCCUGCC
rnacentral:rRNA from 1 species